rnacentral:tRNA from 1 species
GCACUUGUGGUUCAGUGGCAGAAUUCUCCCCUUCCAUGUGGGAGACCCAGGUUCAAUUCCUGAACAAUGCA